UUCCAUUUUGUGCUGACAGUUUCUGGAAAGUCUCUGACAAAGAUGCUCAUCCUGAUAGGGCAUUAUUAAAAAUGUUAUGAGAGAAAUAAAGAGUGAUUGUGCAGGCUCCACACCCACAAAAGAGUUGUGGUUGCCUUUGUGCAGCAUUGUGGGUGGCUUAAGAAGCACACAAUGCCGUGCAUCUCACAUAAACAUCACUCCAUGGUUAUCUUUUGGCAAAAUGACUAAAUUCUGUCUUGUCCAAAGAUCAGAGAAUCCUCCUAUGUGCAAGGAUUAUUUAAUACCCUCUUCUUCAGGAAGAUAACUACAUUGUGCUGCUGUCUCUCAAGUUGUAACCUGCUUCUCUCUGGGUUCCCCUGGCUUGUUAACUUUUAUUUAUAUCAUAUUUCUGUUUUUUUUUUCUUGCUAGGCUUAGCAGAAGUAAAAGUAAAUGCAGAUAAUUACUGGUUGAAUUACUGCUUUUCUAUGUAUGAAGACUUCCGAAUUAGUACAAAUAGUACAUUGAUAUAAAAAGAUUGCUUGCUGUAAUACAGCAAGGCCCUCAAAAGUCUCUCUUUUUUAAGGCCAAAUAUCUCUAAUCAUAUUUAUGCAGAAUUUGUUCUCCGAGGGACUAUUUUUAAAUAGACCUUUCCUAGAGAGCCCUUUUGUAGAAUGUGUUCUUAGAAUUCCUUCCAUCAUUUUAGAUGUUUAUCUGGCUUGCCUCCAAAGGCGAACUUUCUUUUUCUUUUCUUUUUUUUUUUUUGACAGGCAGAGUGAGAGAGAGAGACAGAGAGAAAGGUCUUCCUUCCAUUGGUUCACCCCCAAAAUGGCUGCUACAGCCAGUGCUGCACCAAUCCAAAGCCAGGAGCCAGGUGCUUCCUCCUGGACUCCCUGGCGGGUGCAGGGCCCAAGCACUUGGGUCAUCCUCUACUGCCUUCCCAGGCCACAGCAGAGAGCUGGCCUGGAAGAGGAGCAACUGGGACAGAAUCUGGCGCCCCAACCGGGACUAGAACCCAGGGUGCAGGUGCCGCAGGUGGAAGAUUAGCCUAGUGAGCCACGGUGCGGCCCCAAAAAGUGAACUACCUUUAGAGUGAGUGCGUAUCUGACUAUAAACCUCUACUUCCAAAUAAAACAAAGCAGCAUAUUUCUUCUAGUUUAUCU
rnacentral:lncRNA from 1 species